UUUAAACUUCAGAAACAAUUUUUACACGUAUAUAUUAUAGUUAUACAACUUGUAUAGAAGUUAAUGUAAGAACUGUUCCAGGCGAAAUAGUGCCACGAGCCACUGGAAGUCUGGAUGAUUCCACAAAGUCGCCAAAACGGAGCUGAUUGAAAUUGUCCAGAAUGCAACACCCCCUCAUAUCAACAUUUUGCUACAUUCAAAGGAGGAAAGAAAUUGUCAGUGUGCUCUUGCUUUCUAUCUUUCUCAUACUGUAUUCCCUGCCCCUCUGGACUUUCAGCUAGUGGAGGUGAGGACACGUUCGAGUUGCACUCAAUGGACCUAUAGAUGAAGCAGACCCAGCUGUGGAAGCGGAAAAAGCCGCACUGGAGUAUUCCUGGUCGGUCACUCACCUGUCCCAGGAUCAGUUGAACCGAUAUGGUAUGCUUCACGGAUAUAAGAUGAUGCAUCUGAAAUGCAUUCAGGCUGGCUAUGUGGUGACACAAGAGACAAUCAGGCAAUUGUUGAAAAUACUGGAUCCCCAUGGAGUGCAACUGAGGCGCCGGAAUCGUCUUCGGCGACGUUUGUAUCAUAAUCCAGGCCCGAACUUUUUAUGGCAUGUUGAUUCAUAUGAUAAACUCAAACCAUAUGGGAUCUGCAUCAAUGGUGCAAUCGACAGGUUUGGUUUUCACGAAUGGUGAUAUGGCUACAUGCAUACUCUACAAGUAGUGAUCCCAAGGUCAUCGCUGGAUACUUUAUUGAUGCGGCGUUAUCAAGGAAUGGGACAGCCACCCGAAUUCGCUCAGACUUAGGGACAGAGAACUGUUACAUGGAACAGAUGCAGAUGUUCAUGAGACAUGAUCAUACGGACGACUUUUCGAGAAAUUGCUAUUUGUAUGGCUCAAGCAAUCAUAACCAACGGAUAGAGCAGUGGUGGGGAUUUUUGAGGAAACAGCAUGCACAGUUCUGGAUCAACCUAUUUCAAGAUCUAAAAGAUUCUGACGACUUCUCCGGUGACUUCAUAGACAAAAGUCUAAUACAGUUCACAUGUCUUGAAAUAAUAGAGAGAGAACUGCAGGAUGUUGUUCACCUCUGGAACACGCACAGAAUUCGCCCAUCCAGAAAUGCUGUGUCUCCAUGUGGACGUCCAGUGAUGAUGUACACCCUACCCCAACUUUUUGGUGCUAGGGAGUACCUUAAAGAGGUAUCCCAACAGAAGAUACAGGCUUGUAGGGAGGAAUGUCGUGAGAGAGGACCAUAUCCCUGUGAUAAUACAGUGUUUGACAUUUGUUGCCUUGCCAUGGUAGAAAACAGUCUUCAUCCACCAACCUCUCCAGAGGAAGCCAUUGAUCUUUACAUGUUCUUACGUGCUUACAUACGUACCCAAAUUUAAUAAUCACAAGUUGUUCUACUGGAUCAAAUGACUGAAUGUGAGCACCCACUCAUAGCCAAAAAAACAACAGAAUUGCUGUUUGGACGGAAAAGGAUAUAUAUCAUGACAUUCAUUGUAAAUGUUUGACAGAAGUACUGUGUUUGCAAUCGAUAAUAAACACCUCUUUCAUAAUGGACAUCUCCCAACUCAGCUCCAUAUCAUCUCUUUUUAUUCAUCAUUAUGUAAAAAGUACAUCUCAUCCACAGAACUGGGAACAAUCCUGUACCUGCAAAUGAAAGGUAUCACAUGUUGCCAUUGUCAAAAAUGGCACAUUUGUCCUUAUGGUGGAACUAUUUCGCAUCACCAGAUGUGGUCUGACACACUUUGGACUCAUUGUAAACAGGGCAACCUACAUGAUGCUUGGAUGGCCUUUAAAUCAAACAUAUUAUUGUAUCUUGUUAUCAUGUGUCUCUGGGCUGCACAUAAAGCACUUUUUUACACAAUUAUUUGUCAUCAUAUAAAUACAUGCUAAACCAGUAAAACAUUUUUUCUCCCCAGUGUGAUUUACUGUGUAUGUAGGAAAUAAGCCUAUUUGGUAAAUUUGGUAAUGUAGAGAUGACUGUUUAAAUAUGUUGUCUAAAGAGUACUGGUGAAUGCAGGAACUGCAGUGCAGUUGUCAAAACUCGGUAAUUCUAUUGUGUAGACAAAAUUUGUGUGUGUUAUCUGCAGUAAAGACCCGAUUUGUUUGAAAACAAGAGAGAAACCUGUGCUUUUUAUUUGUAAAAAGCAGAACACCUUCUAAUGUACAGUGCUGUAUGUUAGAACAGAUUUCCAAACACUGGCAAAAUUUAGAAUUAACAUGAGCUGACAUUACCCCAGGGUCUUUUAAAUUGUUAAAUUGUCCCAAAAAGUAUGCUCCUAAACUGCUAACAGAAAUGAUGGCUUAUAUAAAAGUUUUAAAACAUUUAAAAUAUUGGUACAUGUAUCUAAAUAAAAAUGAAAAUGUAUCCACAUGCAUUUCUAACAUACAUUGUGUAAAAGGCUUAUAAUUGUUUUUUUGGUUAAAUGGACCUUAAAGUAUACUAACAAAAUGUUCAGCCACUCAAUAUGUUUCUACAGACAGUUUAAGUCUGGUAACAACAACAACUGCAUAUGAAACGUUGCAAAACGUUGAACUGAAGUGGAACUAUUCAGCAUGACCAAAUGUGAUUUGACAAACUUUGGGCCCACUGCAAACAAUGCAACAUAAAUGGCAUUUAAAUGGUCCUGUAUCAUUAUCAAUAAAUCAAACUGAUUAUUGAAUCUUGUUAUCAA